rnacentral:rRNA from 1 species
GUCCACGCCGUAAAACGAUGGAUACUCGAUGUAGGAAGGAAUCGACCCCUUUCUGUGUCCAAGCUAACGCGUUAAGUAUCCCGCCUGGGGGAGUACGGUCGCAAGAUUAAAACUCAAAAGGAAUAGACGGGGACCCACACAAGCGGUGGAGCAUGUGGUUUAAUUCGACAAUAAACGGGGAACCUUACCAGGGCUUGACAUCUCCGGAAUCCCGAAGAAAUUUGGGAGUGCCGUAAGGAAUCGGAUGACAGGUGCUGCAUGGUCGUCGU